UAUAUUUUUCCAAUUAAUUGGACUUUAAUUACUUUGCAGAAAAUAUAUAAAAAGAGUCAUCAAAGUUUUGAAGAUGAGAACAAGCUGGAAAGGGACACUCUUCUUCUCCUGUCCUUGGACAUCAGAAAUCCAGGUUCUUCAAGCUUUGAACUCUGAAACUUACACCCUUAGCCUCCCAGGCCUCUCAAGUCUUUGGUCUUGGACUGAGAAUUACACCAUCAGUUUCUUUA